ACCUUGCAAAAUCUGGCUGGGGCUUUCCAAAGGGGAAGGUUAAUGAGGAUGAAGCACCAUAUGACUGUGCAGUUCGUGAAGUGUUGGAGGAGACGGGCUUUGACAUCAAAAAUCGCAUCUGCAAGGAUGCGUACAUAGAGCAGAAAAUCACUGACCACCUGGUGCGGCUCUACAUCAUACCAGGAGUGUCUAAGGAUACAAAGUUCAACCCCAAAACUAGAAAAGAGAUCAGGAACAUUGAAUGGUUUCCUAUUGAGAAGCUGCCCUGUCACAGGAACGACAUGACCCCAAAGUCGAAACUUGGACUUGCCCCAAACAGAUUUUUCAUGGCCAUUCCAUUUAUAAGACCGCUGCGAGAUUGGAUUAGCCGGAGGAAAGGCGAAUCAACAGACAGCGAUGAAGACUUCACAAACACCAGCAACACUCGAUCAAAAUCCCGUCACCUCACAGGUACUGAUGCAUUUCCAGGAGAGGGCUGGAUAAAACACAAGC